GACGAACGCUGGCGGCGUGCCUAAUACAUGCAAGUAGAACCGCUGAAGAGAGGAGCUUGCUCUUCUUGGAUGAGUUGCGAACGGGUGAGUAACGCGUAGGUAACCUGCCUGGUAGCGGGGGAUAACUAUUGGAAACGAUAGCUAAUACCGCAUGAUAUUAAUUGUCGCAUGAUAAUUAAUUGAAAGAUGCAAUUGCAUCACUACCAGAUGGACCUGCGUUGUAUUAGCUAGUUGGUGAGGUAACGGCUCACCAAGGCGACGAUACAUAGCCGACCUGAGAGGGUGAUCGGCCACACUGGGACUGAGACACGGCCCAGACUCCUACGGGAGGCAGCAGUAGGGAAUCUUCGGCAAUGGGGGGAACCCUGCACCGAGCAACGCCGCGUGAGUGAAGAAGGUUUUCGGAUCGUAAACCUCUGUUGUAAGAGAAGAACGGG
rnacentral:rRNA from 1 species